AGAGUUUGAUCAUGGCUCAGGACGAACGCUGGCGGCACGCCUAACACAUGCAAGUCGAACGGAGAUAAAGACUUCGGUUUUUAUCUUAGUGGCGGACGGGUGAGUAACACGUGAGCAACCUGCCUCUGAGAGAGGGAUAGCUUCUGGAAACGGAUGGUAAUACCUCAUAAUAUAGCGGUACCGCAUGAUACUGCUAUCAAAGAUUUAUCGCUCAGAGAUGGGCUCGCGUCUGAUUAGCUAGAUGGUGAGGUAACGGCUCACCAUGGCGACGAUCAGUAGCCGGACUGAGAGGUUGAACGGCCACAUUGGGACUGAGACACGGCCCAGACUCCUACGGGAGGCAGCAGUGGGGAAUAUUGCACAAUGGGCGCAAGCCUGAUGCAGCGAUGCCGCGUGGAGGAAGAAGGUUUUCGGAUUGUAAACUCCUGUCUUAAGGGACGAUAAUGACGGUACCUUAGGAGGAAGCUCCGGCUAACUACGUGCCAGCAGCCGCGGUAAUACGUAGGGAGUGAGCGUUGUCCGGAAAUUACUGGGUGUAAAGGGAGCGUA
rnacentral:rRNA from 1 species